rnacentral:tRNA from 1 species
UGAGGAUAUAGCUCAGUUGGUAGAGUCCUUGCCUUGCAUGCACAAGGCCCUGGGUUUGACCCCCAGCACAA